GUGCCAGCAGCCGCGGUAAGACGAACCGUGCGAACGUUGUUCGGAAUCACUGGGCUUAAAGGGCGCGUAGGCGGAUCAUCAAGUCCGGGGUGAAAUCUUUCGGCUCAACCGGAAAAGUGCCUCGGAUACUGGUGGUCUUGAGUGAGGUAGGGGCAUGUGGAACUUCCGGUGGAGCGGUGAAAUGCGUUGAUAUCGGAAGGAACUCCGGUGGCGAAGGCGACGUGCUGGACCUCUUCUGACGCUGAGGCGCGAAAGCUAGGGGAGCGAACGGGAUUAGAUACCCGUGUAGUCC
rnacentral:rRNA from 1 species